rnacentral:rRNA from 1 species
AGCAGUGGGGAAUAUUGGACAAUGGGCGCAAGCCUGAUCCAGCCAUGCCGCGUGUGUGAAGAAGGCCUUCGGGUUGUAAAGCACUUUCAGUUGGGAGGAAGGGUUGUGUGUUAAUAGUACACAGCCUUGACGUUACCAACAGAAGAAGCACCGGCUAACUCUGUGCCAGCAGCCGCGGUAAUACAGAGGGUGCAAGCGUUAAUCGGAAUUACUGGGCGUAAAGCGCACGUAGGCGGUUUUUUAAGUCAGAUGUGAAAGCCCCGGGCUCAACCUGGGAAUUGCAUUUGAAACUGGAAAACUAGAGUGUGUGAGAGGGGGGUAGAAUUCCAAGUGUAGCGGUGAAAUGCGUAGAGAUUUGGNANGGAAUACCAGUGGCGAAGGCGGCCCCCUGGCACAACACUGACGCUCAGGUGCGAAAGCGUGGGGAGCAAACAGGAUUAGAUACCCUGGUAGUCCACGCCGUAAACGAUGUCUACUAGCUGUUCGUGACCUUGUGUCGUGAGUAGCGCAGCUAACGCACUAAGUAGACCGCCUGGGGAGUACGGUCGCAAGAUNUAAAACUCAAAUGAAUUGACGGGGGCCCGCACAAGCGGUGGAGCAUGUGGUUUAAUUCGACGCAACGCGAAGAACCUUACCUACUCUUGACAUCCAGAGAAGACUGCAGAGAUGCGGUUGUGCCUUCGGGAACUCUGAGACAGGUGCUGCAUGGCUGUCGUCAGCUCGUGUUGUGAAAUGUUGGGUUAAGUCCCGCAACGAGCGCAACCCUUAUCCUUAGUUGCCAGCACGUAAUGGUGGGAACUCUAGGGAGACUGCCGGUGAUAAACCGGAGGAAGGUGGGGACGACGUCAAGUCAUCAUGGCCCUUACGAGUAGGGCUACACACGUGCUACAAUGGUAUGUACAGAGGGAGGCAAGCUGGCGACAGUGAGCGGAUCUCUUAAAGCAUAUCGUAGUCCGGAUCGCAGUCUGCAACUCGACUGCGUGAAGUCGGAAUCGCUAGUAAUCGCAAA